GCUCAACAAGAGAAUUGAAAUAAAGAUACAGAGCUAAAGCUUUCCAUAAGAUCCUUCGAAGUAAGCUAUUAGGUUUACAGGGAAGUAACAGCCAGCUGGGUAUUUAGUGGUUUUGAUGAUGCAGCCAUGUUUUAGCGGCAAAGGGAAGCAACAGAAGGAAACAAGGACUCAAAUAUCAUUCUCUUAACUGACUUUCUCUUCUUGGGAAUUACAGUUGCAGUACUCUUCUUUUCAAAGAUUGUCUGUAUCUUAGCUCUGACCUUCUGUAUCUUGGCCCUGAUCUUU
rnacentral:misc_RNA from 1 species